CCACCACGCCCAGCCUGAUAUUAACUUUAGUAUUAACUAAAUACUUGGCUCUAAUUUUAGUAUUAACAUAUGGCUUAUUAGGGUUGCAAGGAACUGCUUAGAGUUUAAUUUAUGCUAGAUAUUUGGGAUUCCUGGUGGAAAUAUAGCAACAUGUCAUUCAUAUGAAAGAAGUAUACACUCACAUCUUAACAAGUAAAACUGUGGGAAAAUAGACUGUGAUAUUGAUGUGAUGGAAUGGCCUAAACAACUUUUCUUGCUGAAUGGCCUGUAGUUAGGUUGCAGUGGUAGGGUUAAUUCUAUAUUAUAAACAGUAUACUUGUUCCUGAGCAACAUAUAUUUACUUUUAAUUGUAUCAAACAAUUGCUUGGAAAAUGACUAGAGCAGAAUUCAACAAGUCUCGAAAAUGCUAUGUAGAUGAUGGUAUUUAUCAUUUAGUACUUAAUAUUAUUGCAUUAUUGGUAAAACAAUAUUUCCAGAAGUGAAUGAUUCUACUAUCUCAGGCUGUAUUUCAUCUAGUUUCAGUUAGGAGACCCCUGCCAUACAAAUUUAGACCUGUAUAGGUUAAAUGUAAAUUUUUUUAUGGAAGACUUCCGUCACAGAGCAAUUCUCUAAUAUUGCUUCAUGUCCGUAACUACUGUUUUGCAAGCUACAUAAAGUUAUAAUUUAUCUUGUAUUUCUUAAUGUUUCACGAUUCAUUCAGAAAUUCAUUAGCUUUAAAAUGUCUAUAUUAGGAAUGAGAAAAACUUCCUUCUAACAUGAAAACAUUUUAAACUGACCCAACUUUAAUUAGGCAAGGUCUUAGAAUGUUUGUCACAGUAUUCUGAGCUCCUUUCUAGCCAAUGACAUACAUUUCAUAAAUAGCUCCUGUGUGAUCUUUGCUCAUUGGCUCCAUCCCCUAAUCAAUUAAUCUGUCUGAGGCUAAUUUAAUGUUAUCUUUAGAAAAUGUUAAUCCUAUUCUAUCUUCUUAUACCCAAUACAUUUGAACUUAAUCUUCUCCUCAUUAUUUACUAUCAGGAGAAUGUAAUAUAAUUUAAUAUUAACCUAUAAUAAAUUUAAUUCAAAUUUAAUUCAAAUGAAUUUAAUUCAGAAUGGAAUCUUUUGGAGGAAAGAAAACAUUCUAGAGUACUGAAGAAAUCAUUCAAUUGGUAGUAGAACACAAUCCUAAGAGCAUAUAGAAAUCCUUGGCCAACUAAUUUGAUGUCAUGUGAGAUAACAAAUAUAAAUAGCCUUCAAAAAACUCAAGGUAGUUGCACAAGUAAGGUACGGUCAUGCCCUGCAUUAAUGAUGUUUUAGUUAGUGGACCACGUACACUACAGUGGUCCCAUAAGAUUAUAAUAUAGUAUUUUUACCGUACCUUUUCUAUGUCUAGAUAUGUUUAGAUACACAAAUACUUACCACUGUAUUACAAUUGCCUAUAGUAUAUAGUUACAGUAACAUGUUUUACAGGUUUGUAGCUGAGGAGCAAUAUACCAUAUAAGUAUAUUCCAUAUAGCCUAAGUGUAUGGUAGGCUCUAUCAUCGAGACUUAUGUAAGUACACUCUAUAUGAUUAUACACAACAAAAUCACCUAGUGAUGUAUUUCUCAGAAUGCAUCCCCAUCAUUAAAUGACACAUGACUUUAGUAUAGUUUGAAUUGUCCAUGUUAUACCUUCUUCCAUUAAUAUAGAUGGUUGAAAUUUUAAUUUUUAAAAAAUAUUUAAACCUUUAAUCAUCUUGGUAUGCUGCUCUUUAAAUACUUUUAACAAAGGCUUCACUUCUUUGAAGUGAAUCUUUAAUUAGGUUGGAUUAUAUGGGUUUAUAAUUCUUAAAAUUUAAGAAGGUUAAAAUGUUUUCCAAUAUUAAAUGCUAAUGCCUUCCAAGAUUUCUGAUUUAAUUUUUAUCUCUCUGACAAAAAUAAAAUGCAUAUUUUAAGUUGAACUUUGACUUCUCUUACUGAAGCUAAUUGUUGAAAUGUCUUAUAUAGUCUGUUAAAGGGGUAAGAAGGGUAUUGAUCUUUGCUGAGCACCUACUGUGUUCUAGGAACUGUGUUAAAUGUUUUAUGCAUGGUAUGUCAUUUAAUACUUCAAACAACUCUUAAAGAAUGGUAUUAGUUUCCUUAACUUACAGAUGGAGAAAAGAGAACUCAGUUAAAUAAGUCCCAACAUUAAACUGUUUUGUAGCAGAGUUAAUAUUCAUCCUUUGUCAAUUUGGCUCAAAAGUCCACAUGCAUUUCAAUAUACUCCUCUUUCUCUUGUAAGUUAAGGAACAAAUGAAAGUGAUUAUUUUUCAGAAUCUACUGGGACUGAACCAAAAUUACCAAAUUACCAAAUUUAGAAGGAUUCCCCAGAAAGAUUUUACCUGUGAAAAGAUUAGGAGAAUUAAUAUUUAGUACUAAGAAUCAGAAUGGAAAAUUUUGAGCUUUUGGUUUUGAAACUUUCUGUAGUCUCAUUUCCUAGUAAUUCCUCAAGUUAAAAACAUUUAAAGCAGUUUUUGAGCCCUUGUGUGCAAAGCUCUGUAUUAGGAGCUCACUCCUUGAAUAACAGGUUCUAUUCCCUCUACAGUGGGUUUUGAAUAGUGCAAUUCUGGUCUUCAUAACCUUAUUGGAAUUUUCCUGUCAGUUCUAUUCAAAUUUUAGGAAUACUAUACUAACUUCUUAGGCAAAUCCUAAACUAUAACCAUAUAAGAAUAACUAAAAUAAUACAAAAACACAUACAUAUAUAUUUAGAAAAUAAACAGUGGAGACUAUUUAAAGCAAUAUUAAGUCAAAAUGACAGCAGGAUCCAAAAUGUGGGCAAAUAUGAAGGAAGGUGAGUCCCUCAUUAGUUUGAGACAAAAUUAUAUGAUGGCAUUAAGAAAUUAGGGUUUGAAGUGGGUUAUUACCAAUGGCAAUCCCAUAAAUUCAGUCACUGUGCCAAAUGUUUGAGAGCAAUAAUGAUACAGAUUAACAUACAAAAGCAAAUAAUUUCUUAGUUUAUCAGAGAUUCAUUAACAUAACUACACAACACAAUUUUACCUUUUUACACUUUAGAAAACAUAGGUUAGAUUUCAUGUAGUAUUUAGAAAAGUAGUAAUAGUAUACAGUAGUGAUUUAGCUAUAUUUUUGGGCUUUUCAUUCUUCAACUCAAAAAUGAGGAGUUGGAUUCAUUAAUUAUCCUUUAAGAGUCCUUCCUGGUCAAAAAUGUCAUAAUUCUAAGUACUUUUAGUAGGAAACACGUGAAGAUAUUCAGAAAGGAAAGAGGUUGCAGUAGUUAAGAAAGUUAGCAUUGUUGACAAAAAAGUUAUGUGAUGUGUGGAUAGGAAUAAAGACAAAGGAAUGCAUCCUUGUUAAAGAGUAGUAAGAUUUUACAUGAGUAGUAGAACACUUGACUGAGCGCUGAAAUGAUGUUGCUCUGUAUAAAAUACACACUUACAGGCUCUUAAUUUGGUUGGUAAAUUUAUAUAUCCUUAAUUUUAAUCAAAAUAUCACAAUGUAUCAAUAUUUUGACAAAUCCAUUUAUGGAAAAUACAUAAGAGUCACAUUUAAUAGGACUUACAUAUAUUUGAAAAUGAAAAUCCCAUUAAAUGAAAACUGUAGAAUCCUCUUCCAAAAUGUAGUUAAGCUUGAAAUUUUACCCAUGGAUUUAUGUGAAAUGUACAUCAAGUUCUCAAAUAACUUUAUUCAGAACCAUAAACAUAAAAAAUGCUUAAUAAAUAAGUUAGAAUCCUAAAUUAAGUUUAUCUUUGAACAGUAAGUCCUGUAUUUUACAGUUUUUAAAUGACUAUACAUGAUAUAUUCACUAUACUAACAAUAUGCUCUAUUGAUACAGAUCUAUAUCUUACCUGAAAACUGUUGAAAAGAGAAAAAUUCAACCAAUUCAAAGUUUUGGUCCAUAUUAGCAAAAAUUUAUGAAAAUACAAUUUGUGCUAAAUAAAAUUAAUUUUGGUUUGCUGAAUCAGCACAUUCCUUUUGCAGCUACAUUACAUAGCUUUUCAGAAGUUUAGCUGAAUUACCAGAAGUUUUAUGCACAAUUGCCUAGAAGCAGGACUAAAAAGCAUCCAAAAGUUUUCCCUGCAAAAAAUGAAAUCUUAUCUGAAGAUUUAGUUAUACUUUUAAAAUUUAUUCUGUAAUAACAUCCUGAAGAAACUAACAUUGUAGCCUUUGAGUUAGAAAAUAGUAUUAUAGCCUUUGAAUUUUAACAUAACAAAGUGAGGACACCAGGGACUAUAAAAAGGAUGCAUGCAUCAGUCUUGCUCAGCUCAAGACAAAGUACUGUUAAGAUGACCUACAAAUAGCUCUUGACAGAAAAGUUCAUUAUAAAUCUAUUUAAAAAACAUUUAAAUCCCCAGAUGAAUUCCUAUGUCAGCUGCUGUGUUAAAUGCCCCCAGAAGAUGUGUGCAUUCAUUUCAAUCUAAUAUUACUAACUAAGGGGGUAGUUUGGUAUGGCAAAAUAAAUCUAAAGGGUUUGGUAACUUUCAUUUUAAAUGACACAAACUACUAAAAUAAAUUAAUUGAAUUAUUGAAAGACAGAGGUAAAAGAAAGGUUUUAAAAAUAUAAAUGAAAGGAAGAUCCAAGUAUUCUUUAACCUAAAAAGCUUUUCAGACCUAAUAGGCAUGACAAAACCUGUCUUCAUUCCUUUCUAUUCAGCUCAGCAAGUGCUUUUGAGCUCCAAUAGUUAAUCAGUUACCAGAUUCCACAAUCUUUGUUUUUCACACUCCUCAAUUCUUGCAGUGAAUUGUUCCUCUACUGUACUUAGGAUCACCCAGCAGGCCAAUACUUUUUUUCUUUGGCCUUAAAAAGGCAAUUAUGUAUCCACAAUUAGAUUUACCAUAUACAGUUGUUACCAUAUAGCAAUAGCCUGUAAAAACAUAAUAGUGUAUUAUCAAAGAAGUAGAUGGCUUAAGAUGAAUCACUAAUAUAUGAAAUCUAUUUAGCAAAUUAUUCAACCCAGCUUUUUAAAUGGCUGUAGCCAUGCCCAAAUUACAAAGAAGUCUAGCAAAAGUAUAUUGUAUAAGCAAAUACUCUUUAUCUAAAUGAAUCAAUGAACAUAUAUGUGUUAUAAUAUCUAACCAGAUUUACAGAAAAGGUAUAAUGCAGAUAUUACCAUGUUAAAAAUAGAUAUCUUCUUAUAUAUCAUUUCUUAAUUUAACCUUUCAAAAAUGCAUACAAAAUUGAGAAAUAUAAAAAAUAUAUUAACUUACCCUUCAAUUUAUUUAGAAAACCUCUGCUCUUGGUCAAAAGCAGAACAUGUUUCACUGCUCACUUUCCCUGGAGCUAUGAGUUUAACAUUAAAUUAGUGGACGCCACCUCUCUGGACCACACUAGAGUUUGCUAGACACUACUGCUAUGGGGAAGAGUUCUGCUGCAUCUAAGCAAUAUACUGUGUGCAAUGGAUAACCUAAUAUGCCUUUCAUUUAACUGGCUGGGCAGGUUUCUACCGUCUGUGGAACAUGGAAUCAAACCAGAAUAUGUUGGCAUAACAGGCCAGUCAAACUGGUUCUUCUGUAGAUCCAAAACCUGUCUGACCAGUCUGUAUCAAAGGGUAGCCCAACAUGCUGCAGCGGCUCAGUUCUGCUAAACUUGUACUGGGGAUGGUCUGGAUCCUGCCAUGUAAAUCAAAGAAGAGAGGGCCUAACUCAGACGCCUAGCCUAGAUCACCUGGAACACAUUAUGCUACAGGAUCAUAAACACCUCCAUUUUCCCUUCAGAGAGAGACCAGAACCACUGAAGUUAAGCUACCUGCAUAAGAGUUGAGUGCGAUCAGCUGUACUUAAUCUUUAAAUGUCCAACCCACUGAUAACCUUUGGUUUGCUUUGAUAACUAUGAAAUAAAUUCUCACUGCAUUGGA